AUUGAACGCUGGCGGCAGGCUUAACACAUGCAAGUCGAACGAGCGGCGGACGGGUGAGUAAUGUCUGGGAAACUGCCCGAUGGAGGGGGAUAACUACUGGACACGGUCGCUAAUACCGCAUACCAUCAGAUGUGCCCAGAUUGGAUUAGCUAGUAGGUGGGGUAAUGGCUCACCGAGGCGACGAGCCCUAGCUGGUAUGAGAGGAUGACCAGCCACACUGGAACUGAGACACGGUCCAGACUCCUACGGGAGGCAGCAGUGGGGAAUAUUGCACAAUGGGGGAAAGCCUGAUGCAGCCAUGCCGCGUGUGUGAAGAAGGCCUUCGGGUUGUAAAGUACUUUCAGCGAGGAGGCGUUACUCGCAGAAGAAGCACCGGCUAACUCCGUGCCAGCAGCCGCGGUAAUUC
rnacentral:rRNA from 1 species